UACGAAGGGGGCUAGCGUUGCUCGGAAUCACUGGGCGUAAAGCGCACGUAGGCGGCUUGUUAAGUCGGGGGGGAAAUCCUGGAGCUCAACUCCAGAACUGCCUUCGAUACUGGCGAGCUUCGAGUCCGGGAGAGGUGAGUGGAACUGCGAGUGUAGAGGUGAAAUUCGUAGAUAUUCGCAAGAACACCAGUGGCGAAGGCGGCUCACUGGCCCGGUACUGACGCUGAGGUGCGAAAGCCAGGGGAGCAAACGGG
rnacentral:rRNA from 1 species